GACGUAGGGCGCGAGCGUUUGUCCGGAUUUACUGGGCGUAAAGAGCUCGUAGGUGGUUUGUCGCGUUGUUCGUGAAAACUCACAGCUCAACUGUGGGCGUGCGGGCGAUACGGGCAGACUUGAGUACUGCAGGGGAGACUGGAAUUCCUGGUGUAGCGGUGGAAUGCGCAGAUAUCGGGAGGAACACCUGAGGCGAAGGCGGGUUACUGGGCCGAUACUGACGCUGAUGCGCGAAAGCCAGGGGAGCAAACGGG
rnacentral:rRNA from 1 species